GAUUCUGGCUCAGGAUGAACGCUAGCGGCAGGCUUAACACAUGCAAGUCGAGGGGCAGCGGGAUGUAGCAAUACAUUGCCGGCGACCGGCGGAUGGGUGCGUAACGCGUAUGCAACCUACCUUAUACAGGGGAAUAACCUUUCGAAAGGGAGACUAACACCCCAUGGUAUUGAUUUAAGGCAUCUUAGAUUAAUUAAAUAUUUAUAGGUAUAAGAUGGGCAUGCGUAUGGUUAGCUAGUUGGUAAGGUAACGGCUUACCAAGGCGACGAUCAUUAGGGGUUCUGAGAGGAAGGUCCCCCCACACUGGUACUGAGACACGGACCAGACUCCUACGGGAGGCAGCAGUGAGGAAUAUUGGUCAAUGGGCGCAAGCCUGAACCAGCCAUGCCGCGUGCAGGAAAAGACGGCCUUAUGGGUUGUAAACUGCUUUUACAUAAGACUAACCGUAUAUUUGCGAAUAUACCUGAAUGUAUUAUGAGAAUAAGGAUCGGCUAACUCCGUGCCAGCCGCAGC
rnacentral:rRNA from 1 species